ACUCCUGCGGGAGGCAGCAGUGGGGAAUAUUGGACAAUGGGCGCAAGCCUGAUCCAGCCAUGCCGCGUGAGUGAUGAAGGCCCUAGGGUUGUAAAGCUCUUUCACCGGUGAAGAUAAUGACGGUAACCGGAGAAGAAGCCCCGGCUAACUUCGUGCCAGCAGCCGCGGUAAUACGAAGGGGGCUAGCGUUGUUCGGAUUUACUGGGCGUAAAGCGCACGUAGGCGGACUAUUAAGUCAGGGGUGAAAUCCCGGGGCUCAACCCCGGAACUGCCUUUGAUACUGGUAGGCUUGAGUUCGAGAGAUGUGAGUGGAAUUCCGAGUGUAGAGGUGAAAUUCGUAGAUAUUCGGAGGAACACCAGUGGCGAAGGCGGCUCACUGGCUCGAUACUGACGCUGAGGUGCGAAAGCGUGGGGAGCAAACAGGAUUAGAUACCCGGGUAGUCCCAUGA
rnacentral:rRNA from 1 species